rnacentral:rRNA from 1 species
UACAGAGGUCCCAAGCGUUGUUCGGAUUCACUGGGCGUAAAGGGUGCGUAGGUGGUGAGGUAAGUCGGAUGUGAAAUCUCCGAGCUCAACUCGGAAAUGGCAUUGGAAACUACCUUGCUCGAGGGUUGGAGGGGGGACUGGAAUGCUUGGUGUAGCAGUGAAAUGCGUAGAUAUCAAGCGGAACACCAGUGGCGAAGGCGAGUCCCUGGACAACUCCUGACACUGAGGAGCGAAAGUGUGGGGAGCGAACAGG